rnacentral:rRNA from 1 species
GAUGAACGCUAGCUACAGGCUUAACACAUGCAAGUCGAGGGGAAACGACAUCGAAAGCUUGCUUUUGAUGGGCGUCGACCGGCGCACGGGUGAGUAACGCGUAUCCAACCUGCCCACCACUUGGGGAUAACCUUGCGAAAGUAAGACUAAUACCCAAUGACGUCUCUAGAAGACAUCUGAAAGGGAUUAAAGAUUUAUCGGUGAUGGAUGGGGAUGCGUCUGAUUAGCUUGUUGGCGGGGUAACGGCCCACCAAGGCGACGAUCAGUAGGGGUUCUGAGAGGAAGGUCCCCCACAUUGGAACUGAGACACGGUCCAAACUCCUACGGGAGGCAGCAGUGAGGAAUAUUGGUCAAUGGACGAGAGUCUGAACCAGCCAAGUAGCGUGCAGGAUGACGGCCCUAUGGGUUGUAAACUGCUUUUAUAAGGGAAUAAAGUGAGUCUCGUGAGACUUUUUGCAUGUACCUUAUGAAUAAGGACCGGCUAAUUCCGUG